ensembl:lncRNA
AGUCACUCAGUGAGGUAGAGAUAUAUUAUUACUUCCUUUUUAUAAGCUAGGAAAUUGAGGAUUACCAAGUGGAAGCAACUUGCCUGAGGUCACCCAGUUUAUGAAUGAUGAGAUGAGGUUUGAAUCCAGGAGACGCAUUUGAAUCCAAAGCCAAGCUUUUGACUUGCUCUUUCAAAAAUUCAACUUUAGGAGGAAAAUUGGUGUUUUAAGAAAAUCAGUAAAUAGGAAAAUCCCUAAACUGGUUACAUGCCAGUAUGUACUAGAAUUCAACAAUAAUUACAUUGUUAAAGACGGAAGAACUUGUCAUAAAAAGAUUCCCUGAAGCUUUGACACCAAUUACAGAUGCUUUAGGAAAUCACUGUGAUUUCCUAACUUAAGAAAUCGAGUUUAUUAUGCAGGAUGGUUCUUUUAACAGAAAUGGCUCAGACCCAAAGAUGAAAGAUACAUACAUUUUGACAAUGUGUGUGCAAGUGUCUGGGGGUGGGCAUGGUAGGUGGAAAGGGAAAGAGUAAGGAAAUUAUUCUAAUUUAGUGAGCUUUUAAAAAUGGCAAGUUUGUUGCAAAGUUCACAUGGCCAGGCAGAGGUGAGGAGGAGGGGGUAGAGCGGAUUGCUGAGUUAGAUAAGCCACAGUGUGAGGGGCUGUCUUUGCGGAGCUGUACUUCUUCUUUUGUAAAGAAGGAAGCUUUCUUUCAUGGUGCAUUUAUGUCAAAAUUUUAAAAUCUCUCACAUGAGACCAUCAUAUCAACCUUGUCAGGUCUCACUUGUGGGAAUGAGUGGGAUUUGAAAACUUCUGAGUGUGCUAUUACACUUUCCAUAUCUGUGUGGGGAAUGUGACUGCAUGGAAAUGUGACCCAGAGUCACAGGGGGUGGGGUCUGAGGGGUGCAGCUUCAAACUAAUGAACCAAGUGGGUUGCUUCAGGUGGGGCAAGGACUUUGGGAAGAAAAUAUAUUUUAUUUUUUACACUUUUUACUUGUAUCACCUUAAUGAAACUGUGUGACAUCAAAUGCCAGAAUUUAAGUCAAUUGUUUCUUUGAUUUCAAGGUAUACAACUUAACAGUAAUCCAUUUUUCCUCACUGAAAUGAAAUAAAGAUAGAUCUUGGGCCUUUUCAGUUUUAGAACUCAUCAAGAGACAAAGAAGCAUCAUGUAAACAUCAGAUAUUUUCAUUAAGACUCUGCAUCAAGUGAUGAAUGUGACUGUGGACAUCUUUCCUAUACAAACAGAAUGUAGCCAUCUUUUCCAGAAUCAUUGGAUGAAUUAAGCAUGUGAAAGGAGGUACCACUGCAUUUCAAUCCAAAAGGAAUGAAGCAUUGUCUACUGGAGAGACAUGAACAAAAGUCUGGGGCCUUUGGCCAGAGGUAAUUUUCUGUGAAUGGAGAAUUGAUGAGGGAAGAGUGCAAGCCAGAAGAAUCGACCAUCUAAGGCAGCAGUUGAUAUGAUGUGGAUUUACUGCAGUGGCAGCAGAGGUGCUAAGGGUCCCGAAGAAAGCGAUGAACUGGAAUUCGGGAAAGAUGAUCCCAAAUGGAACAAAUUUGCUCUGUGAAACAGAAGUCUCAGGUGCUGCCAAGAAGUGGAGCCUCUUUCAGGAUGAAGAGCAUCAUUCUCCAGCCAGCAGGAGUGGUUUUUUUGAUGCUCAUGGCAGAGGCCCUUCUCAGGCACUGCUGUAGGAUGAUGGGAACUGUGUGACCCAGAUUUAUACCUCCUUUCAGGGGCAUGUUUAAUUCAAUAGUGGGUCCAUCGGGUCUAUCGGGUCCAUGCAACGUAGAAAAAAAAGCUGUGUGGCUGCCAAAUAAGCAAGUUGGUAAUAAUUCAUACCAAAAGUAUUCACACCCUUAAAAGUAAUGGAACCUUUGUUUUUCCCAGAUCACUUCCCCCAGAAAAAAUACACAUAAGAAAGUUGAAAAUGGAGUUUCUGUUUAAAAGAUGUCCCUUUUACCUUCUUACACUGGUUCACAGUUUGUGCAGUGGGGGCCCUCAUUCUACUUUUGCUCAUUCUCACUCUUCUCUUCUUCUUUUGCACUCUUAAAGUGGCAUCUGGAUCAAGUUGGAGGAGCCCCCUGGUCUCCUCAAAACAACAUCACUGUUCAAAAAGACUGCAUGACAGGAAUGCUCAGAGGGGAUUACACAGGGCAGGGUGUUGAUGCUGGAGGCUACUUGCUUUCUCUCAUCUUUGAAUGUGUACCAGUCAC